UAGGGAAUCUUCGGCAAUGGGGGGAACCCUGACCGAGCAACGCCGCGUGAGUGAAGAAGGUUUUCGGAUCGUAAAGCUCUGUUGUUAAGGAAGAACGAGUGUGAGAAUGGAAAGUUCAUACUGUGACGGUACUUAACCAGAAAGGGACGGCUAACUACGUGCCAGCAGCCGCGGUAAUACGUAGGUCCCGAGCGUUGUCCGGAUUUAUUGGGCGUAAAGCGAGCGCAGGCGGUUAGAUAAGUCUGAAGUGAAAGGCAGUGGCUCAACCAUUGUAGGCUUUGGAAACUGUUUAACUUGAGUGCAGAAGGGGAGAGUGAAAUUCGAUGUGUAGCGGUGAAAUGCGUAGAUAUAUGGAGGAACACCGGUGGCGAAAGCGGCUCUCUGGUCUGUAGCUGAAGCUGAGGCUCGAAAGCGUGGGGAGCGAACAGG
rnacentral:rRNA from 1 species